rnacentral:lncRNA from 1 species
AGUUGAGUACGGUGUCCGAGGGCACCCCACCAUGAGGAGGCUGAGGCUGUUUGUGCAGAUUCAUUUCUGGCUGCAAAGUGUUGAGGGAAUUGAGGAUCCAAAGGUGAAAUGCAACGGGCCAUCAACAAGUGACACUUCAGCCCCAUGGGAGAGGCAGAGAGCACAGGUUCUGGAGUCCUCCUGUCUGGAUGCCCAUGGAUUCCACCCCUACUGGCUGUGUGACUUUAGGGCCUGCACACUAAACCAGCAGUCUACAUGGUCUCCACUCUUCCUUUGGGUGCCUCCAACUCCUUACCUGUCAAAUGUGGAGGCUGACAAGAUGCUUUCUAGAAGCUCUUAGAGCUCUGACGUUGGACACUCCCAUGGCGAAGCACAGGGGAGAAUUCCUUAUUCAAAAGAACCCUUCAGUGCAAGGAGAAUCUUCCAGAAAUGGAAAUUUGUAUGCCUCCUACAAGCGUUUAGCCUAUUUGUGUUUAUGUGCCCUGUUAAUUGGAUCUGCAGCCUAUGAUAUCUCGUUUUAAUUUAACUAAUCCUCACAAAAUAGACAAGUGAUUUAAAUGAUUACUGAGAAGAAACUGCAAACUGGAGAUAAUAUUAAUGACACAAGCCCAGGGGACCAGCAGAAUGCUGAUGUGCUAUUUCUGCAACUCCUAGUGCUGCCUCUUUUCAGCUAAUUACAGGAUAAAAAGAAUGGCGGGCUAAUUACAUCAAUCACAACAUUGGCCAAAAGACUGGAAAAAUUAAGAAGACUAUUUGAAGCAUGGUCUUUCAUCCACUAUCAUUAAUGAUGACUCUCUCCUUGAGUGAAUAUUGGAUCUUGACGUAGCUAAUGAGAGUGUGCAGCCAUUGCAAUGAACAAAAUGUUUAGAAACUUCUUUCAGCUACUUAAAGUCAUAAUAUACUCAAUCCAGCCCUUUACAAAAUUUGAUUAAAUUUUUGAUAAUUUUGAAUUUACUACUUAAUUUUGAAAGUGAAAGUCCAUAGCCCAUUGGUCAAACACUUGCUCUACAUGCUAUAGUGAAAAUAGCUGAAGAAAUAUCUGAAAACUAUAUAGUGACACAUUAAAAUAGACUCCUUGGUCAUUAAACAUUUUUGGAAGAUGCAUAGAACUUGUUGUUAAAGAAUUGAAGAAAUGUUAAAACAAAUAAUUCAUUGUGAGAAGUUUACCCUACAACUGUUGGAAAGUAGUACAGAUGUUUCAACAUAUUUUGGCUUAUGCUAUUUCCAGAUUCUUCAUGGCAAUAAUAAAAUCUGUUGGAGGACCCUUUCUUAUGAGUUCAGAAAAAAGCACUUUCUCAAUGGUAAAUGAGUUUCUUAACAAAAGCAAUGUUUUGGUUUUAUGUUGACAGGAAUGAAAAAAUAGGUAAAUUUCACAAGCUAGUACCUUAUGUGAAAUUUAUUUGCUGCAUUUUCUUUUUAAAGAUUGGCACCUGGGCUAACAACUGUUGCCAAUCUUCCUUUUUUUUUUGUUUUUAAAGAUCGGCACCUGGGCUAACAACUGUUGCCAGUCUUCCUUUUUUUUUUUUAAAGAUUGGUACCUGGGCUAACAACUGUUGCCAGUCUUUUUUUUUUUCUGCUUUCUCUCCCCCAACCCUCCCGUACACAGUUGUAUAUCUUAGUUGCAUGUCCUUCUAGUUGUGGGAUGUGGGAUGCCGCCUCAACGUGGCCUGAUGAGCGGUGCCAUGUCCGCGCCCAGGAUCCGAACCCUGGGCCGCCACAGAGGAGCGCGCGAACUUAACCACUCAGCCACGGAGCUGGCCCCUUGCUGCGUUUUCUAUAGCAAGCUAUUGAAGUCAGGAACAAAGCCACAAAAGCACAGGGCACGAUAGGAUGUCACUGAUGGGGAUCAUUAUACAGAGACAGGAACUUUACAAUAUAGAAGAAUCUGUGCAAUACUUCAUCAUUAGAUAGGCAGUGCACCUGAAAAUAUUUCGUUCAAGCAGAGACUCCUUCAUUCUCUUUUGCAAAGUAUUUGAAGCAAUGAGAGAACAUAAAAUCAAGGUUCUAAAUGAUUUGAUCUUUUCAAGGAUGACAAAUGACUGUCAGGAGUCUAAGUUUUCCCUUCAGGGUAAGUGUCACGAUUUAAUAAUAAAUGAGAUGGUAACUGCCUUUCAAAAGAAACGUGUAAACCACAGAGAGAGACCUUCAUACAUGCACCAAAAUGGCCACAA